rnacentral:rRNA from 1 species
CCUACGGGAGACAGCAGUGAGGAAUAUUGGUCAAUGGCCGCAAGUCUGAACCAGCCAAGUAGCGUGAGGGAAGACGGCCCUAUGGGUUGUAAACCUCUUUUAUGCGGGGAUAAACGUUUCCACGCGUGGAUGUCUGCAGGUACCGCAUGAAUAAGGACCGGCUAAUUCCGUGACAUCAGCCGCGGUAAUACGGAGGGUCCGAGCGUUAUCCGGAUUUAUUGGGUUUAAAGGGUGCGUAGGCCGGUGUAUAAGCUCGCCGUGAAAUUUUGUGGCUCAACCCUGAGAGUGCGGCUGGAACUGGAGACCUUGAGUGAGCGUAAGGUAGGCGGAAUUCGUGGUGUAGCGGUGAAAUGCUUAGAUAUCACAAAGAACCCCGAUUGCGAAGGCAGCCUGCCGCGGCGUUACUGACGCUGAAGCACGAAAGCGUGGGUAUCGAACAGGAUUAGAUACCCUUGUAGUC